UUUCCUGAGAAUCCUAAUUUGAUAAAUGCCUUGUAUUACUGGAAAGGCAGAAUGGAAUCAGCAAGGCAGGACAAUGGUAUUGGCAGCAAAACAGCUUCGGCAACAAAUCCUCUUUGCUUUGGGAAUGUGGUGGUGAUCAGUUAUAAUUUUCAGAGAGUAAAAGGACUUGCAACACAGCUUAUUGUAACCAGGCAUUGAACAGUAACGAGAGAGAACUUCCAUGCGACAAAACAUGGACUUGUCUCCUUGGCAACGUUCCCCUGAAAGAAAAAAAGAGGAAAGCUGAUGAGCUCAGAGCACCUCUACAAACAUGAAUAGAUCAAGCCUCGCAACGCUCCUGGGAAGUUGGUAAAUCCUUGACACAUGGGGAAACUGAGUACAAUGAGGGUAAGUGCACACUUACAAAGUUGCACACUAUGUUAGUGGAAGAGCCAGGAAUAGGAAGCUUAGAACUCCCGACUCCUGGUUCUUUGCUAGAACCAUUGGAUCUGCUUUGUACCUCACACCUCUGUAUGGAAAAAGUAGCACUGGAAGAACUAGCCUGCAAUUCCUUUCACUCAAUACUUGUAUCCUUCCCUCAGAAUGGCUUUUCUUUGUCAAAGAUGUCCAAUGCCCAUUUAAUUGCAAUGAGGCUGGGUGCCUAACUCCCUUAGACACUUCUAAAAAACCCAGUCAUGUCCCUAAAGGACUUUAAGGAAAAAAGAAAAAGGCAUGACACAAAUCUAUUGUAUUAUUUUUCUCUGAGCAGUGUCAUUUGGUGAAAUAAUUGAAGUGACAAACAGAAGAGAACUGCUGAAGGGGCCAAUUCCUUUCUUUCUGAAACUGCAACCAAGACCAGAAAGAUCUGGCUCAUGGGAGCCAAAGCAAACAGCAUUACUUCUGACCUAAUUGCUUGGUGUUUUACUGCUGUCCAUACUGC